rnacentral:sRNA from 1 species
UUGGAAAAAUACGUUCUUAAU